UGAGGUUUGCAACAAGUAGGAUUGAAAUGGA
rnacentral:piRNA from 1 species